ensembl:lncRNA
UUUACAUGUUUGUCUUAAACCCCUGGUAUUAAGAGAAACAAAUGAAAAAGACAAAGUUAUUAGAAAAAAGAAAGAGAAAAAGUAAGUUCUAAACUUCUACAGCUAAGAAUAGAUCUAUAGAAUAAGGGGACCGGGUGCUGCACAAUUUAGGUAAUAGAACAGUAAAAACCCUGAGUGACUAAGCUUAUAAAAAUAUAGUACUUAACUAUCUGCUAUGGUUCAAAUCUAGCUUUUUAUAGAAAAAAACACUCUUCAACACAAAAUAAAACUUUAACCUGAGGGUGAAAAUAUCAAGUUCACCAUGUAAACAAUCUUACAGAAAUGUCAUUUUGGAGACUGAAAAAGCGUCUCUAUCAAGGAGGGAAAACUUCUGAUCCACUGAUGAAUCCUCGGCCUCCCACGAAAUAAGCCGACCUAUCCUUACGGGCUUUGUCUAUCAUCGGCCACAAAAUGUCAUUUUGGAGACUGAAAAAGCGUCUCUAUCAAGGAGGAAAACUUCUGAUCCACUGAUGAAUCCUCGGCCUCCCACGAAAUAAGCCGACCUAUCCUUACGGGCUUUGUCUAUCAUCGGCCACAGUUUGUCACGACGUUCUCUGUCCUCCCUGGACAGAUCUUCAGCGAACCUCAAAUGAUUGUCCUGCAGGUAGGAGGAUGUUUUGGCUGCUUUCCAUACAGCAUCUCUGUAGAUUCGGGAGGUGAACUGCACGAUGAUGCCUCUGGGUCUGGUGCUACCUUGUCGCUUGGCUCCGAGUCGGUGUCGAUGACGUCAGGCAGCCUAUGAUUUUGCUCUGGCAGAACAGACUGGCAUAUCUCGAUCACCUUUCCCCUUACGUCUUCUUUCUCAGCCUCCUUGACUCCAUGUAGUCUGAGAUUCCACCUCCUGGAAUAUCUUUCCAACUCAGAUAUUCUCUGUUGGCAGUUGUCCACUCGACCUUCCUCUUUAGUUACUUUUUUUUUCCAGGUCGCAAACUUUCCCCUUCAUAUCUUUCAUUUCCGCGCACACAAAAUCAAUCGUCUUUUCAGACCCUCAAUCUGGAGCGUAUUCUCUUUCACCAUGUUCGAGUUUUCUCUCACCAUGCUCUCAAUGUUAUCAGACCUGGAGUUAAUUAAUGCCGACAAACUGGAAAUUAUCUGGUUUACAUCAACUGCGUCAGAGCUGCUGCGUUCGUACAUCACCUUCUUCGGAGCUGGCGAUUUAAGAGGUGUGACAGGGAGAGGUGGGAACUCAUCCAUUUCUUCUUCGGCUAACGUGAGUGCCACCGUAGUAGCUGCGUAGUUAUGGAAGCUAUCCAUUAGCAUGUUGCUGGGCGUAGCACUCUCCUCGUUAGCAUUCUCAGGCGCUAUCUUAGACUUGGAACUUUCUGCUGCUUCUUGCCCUAUGAUUGCUGUAUUUCACUUGUUUAGUCAACUGUUAGUGUUAGCAGCAUAAAGUUGAGGUUUUACCGUUGUUCACGAACUUUCUGUGCAGACCUCGGUAGAGAGCGUCUACUCACUCCGCCAUCUUGGCACGCCCCCUCUACAGUUGUUAAUUUUGACUGUGAUGUUCUGUGACAUCACUGAAUUCUCUUUGAUGACAGCUGUAGGGGCCGGAGCCAGGUUUCACGAGAAGUCACAAAUACACCCCAUGUACACAAACUGUAAGCACUACAUGAGUAGAUAACUUGUUGUACUUGAUAACUUUGCACGGACAAUAUAAAUACAAAUGAAAUACAUUCAUUUACAUUCAUUUAGUGUGGCUGCCACACUAGAAUUACAGCAAAAAAAACUUGAAAAAUUUAAAAAAAAGGAAAAACGCCUCAUGGCUGAAAACAAGGACCAACAGAAAAAAAUAUCUGAAUUUGUUAAAGUGUGUAGGGAACAAGUGGCGGAUAUUGAUAGACUUAAACGGGAAGCCUGCGCCCAUCUUUCUGAAAUAGACCGACUAAGAAAACGUAUGGUUAAAUGUGAGAUAAAGCCUGCAGGAUCAGAAAAGUUGACUGCAUCGGGAAAAUAUGAGAAAGAAAUCCUGGA